CGUGUGCGCCGGGGAGCCCCUGGAGCCGGGGGCUGCAGCCUGGCUCCGUUCUCCCAGCAAGAGCGGGGGGUUCAGGGAGCCCCGAAAAGUGCGUGCUGUGGUGCCGGGGGAGCUAGAAGGGCCUGCGGGAGACUUUCACUCGGCUGUAGCAGAGCUGACAUAUGGCUGGGCAGGACCCGGCUGGCCCCGCUGCCUGGCCCUUUCAGGGCUUGGUGUUAGGGCUGGGGAUUAGCCUGUCUUUUCCCUGAGCAAUAGCGCGCAUGGGUCUUCCUUGGGAGCGCCGCCAGCGCGGGGAGACAGAGGCGUCGGGGGGGGGUUUUGUGAGUAAGGUGCUUCGUCUUUUGGAAGCAUCGGCAAAAAUGUAUAUUUAUUAGGAUUUUCUCCGGGGUGGAUGAACACUUGAAGAAAAAUCCUUUUGCGGUACCACUUUGAUUUAGCGCGUUGGCUGCUUCGCUCAUCAGGACGUGGAAAAAUAAGUUCUUCCUAAGCAUGAAAAUAGGAGUACAGUUACCUGCUGUAAUUUCUUGCAUUUUGUGAAACACAGCUGGAAAACCCAGAACCACUUUAGUUAGAAAUCUAUGGAAAGGCUUGUGUGCUGUCCAGUGGGCCCCUUGGUGGCUGAUUUACAGCUGUGGGUCAGCUGCUGGUGUAAAAUAAAGCGAAUCUGCCCAUUUUAUCUCCAUCCGGGGGGGCUCUCGGCUUCUUUAGCCGAACUUCAGUGCAGCACGCCAGAGCUGUUGCGUGUGGCAGCGUGUGCUCAGACAGAUCCAAGGCUCUCGGGAGCAGGGAAAUCCAGGCUUUUUCAUCUGGUGCCUGGUGCAGUCAUCAGGGUGACUCUCGCUGCUGUCAGUGAAUGCUGGAUUUUGCCACUCUAGAAUGCACUAUUGCUCAAACAACGGUGGGAGAGGGCUUGUCUGCCCCAAACACCAGUUUUAUAUUUGUGUCUCUCAAAUGAGUGAACACUUGCAAAUGUGUGUGAGUUCAAACAACACUUUCUACCUUUUUUAAUUCUGAUCAUUUUAGGCAUGCAUCUGCACAAGUGAAGGCUCCUGUGUCUUAUGGACUUCCCACAGGGUACAAAAUUGACAGAGGCACUUCAGUUUGCAUCUAAGGGCACAGGAAGCUUUCACAUGGCGAGGUGUCUCUUUUUAGACAGCACUUGAGCUGUGCCGGUGCCUGCUGGCUCUGCAGUGGGAAGGAAUGGAAAGCAGUCUUGGCUGAAUUGGGCCCUGGAGCAGUACAGAGCCAUCUUAAUUGCUGCUGCUCCACCUCUUGAGGAGAUGGCUCUGGUUCUCCCAGCAUGGAGUUGUGUGCACCGGCUCCGGCAUGGCUCCUUGCCCACUGACACGGGAAUUCAUGGUGUCGUGGUCCUGCCUGUGGGACUGGCACCUCCUGCUUCCAUGCAAGGAGGCCUGGAGUGCUGCACUUGUGGGAAGAAACAGUGGUGUGGAGCAGGAAGAGCUUCUGGGCUGAUCCCAAGGACGCUUGUGUGUAGAAGCCCUCGCAUAUUUUUUGGGUGCCAACAAGCAGAGUCUGCUGAAUAAUCAGCUAAUCAUGUAGUAAAGUCAGGGAUCUGGCCCAGUGCUGUGCCUGCUUGCUUUACUGCAGCUCUGGUUUCCUGCUGCUGAUGCCCAGGUGUGUAAAGCAGCUCCUGGUCCAUGUUGCUGAGUCCAUGUGUUCAUGUGUUCACAGCACAAUAGAACUGAAUUCACACUUGGCAGGCCUGGCUACUUCUUUAACGCUGCCACAUGGAGGCCCAAAUUUCAAAACAGCCUCAGCCUGGCUCCUGGUGGUGGCUCAGACACUGCUGUGUGCAGCCAUCCUGGGAAAGGAUGUAAAGCAGAUUUGGCACAGAGGCGACCUGAGAUAAGGGCAGCUCUGACAUCUUCUGGAAAAUCUCUCUCCCCUCAGUAGGUAGCCCUAACAAAGCAUCUCCUGGCAGUGGGAAGGGGGGACAGCUCCACCCUGGUCGGGCUCAGAGCAGGUGGUUGGUGGUCAGCGGGGCCAUGUCUGCACCAGGGCUGUGGCAGGGUUGGCAGUCAUGGACAGUGUGAUUCCUAAAGCUUCCAGUUAAGGAUGAGACCAAAAAAGGGCAGGCUGGGGGCUUGUUUGCAUCUUCUGGGCACUGUUUUAUAAGGAAGCACAUGGGAAGUCCUGUCUGAAGCAGAACAUGUGAGGAUUGACAUUUUGGCUUUGAAAUCUUUGAGACAGAAAUUAGUUUCUGCUGGGCAGUCCAAACCUGUUUUGCUUUUUUCCAGUAAAGACUACUGCCUGCCUGUAUGUGAAUAUUAAAUAAAUGUUUUCCAACCCUGGUGUGUUACCCUGGUAUAUUCUCCCUCUUGCUUUGCACUGAAAAGGAGUUGUCAGAGUUGCACAGGGCUUUUGCUCUUGCCUUCAGCCUCACAGUGGUUUGCAGUGUGCCUUGCUGGCUUUCCAUGCUCAGAACCUGUGCGGUCUUGUCCACCUUCUGGUUCUGCCAGGGCAGUCUUUAAUGCUUUAACAAGCUAACAAGUGCUCCUCUGAUUUAAACUUGCAUUAACUUCUGCUACCCUGCUAGAAUUCCUAAUAUUAUAAACACCCUUAAUAACAUGGCUAUAAUCUAGAAAACCUGCUGUCCUUUUUCCAAACAAUUACUUAAUGAGGCAGUAAUUUAUUCUAAGCUAUAUUUAUUGGAGCCCAUUCCAGCUUUAUCAGACACACUCUGGUUGGAUGUGUGCAGUUAGUCAAAAACAUUAAAACUGCUCCACUUCUUCCAGGGGAACAUGUUACAUUUAGCAAACUGACAGCAUUAGAAACUGUUUCCAAUUUAAUAGAAGCAUAUGUUUCCUGCAAGGCUUAACACACUGCAGAGUCAGAAAUUGCCUUAGACUGCGGCUUUGCCUUUUUUUAGCGUGGUGAAAAGGAGCUGCAAACUGAAGGCAGAAGUGGAGUUCGUGUUUUUGGUUGUUUUGCAGAGAUCCUUCUAGCAGGGCUUCGGCGGGCUGCAAGUUUAAGAAACUCUCAAGAAAGUGGUGUGGGCGGUGCACACUGAGCUCUCGCUCCAAAUGCAGUUUCUGAUCAUGAACAAACAGCAAGAGCUUGCUUUGCCCUCUGGGCCUCAAAUAGUACAGUAUGCAACAAGGGAGAGCAGGCAAGGCACGAGGAUGGAAACAGUAGGAUCAGAUUACAGUUUCAAAAUAUCGCUGGAACACGUUGGCUGGCGUUACACUAUUGACUGGCUUUAUAAUUGCAUUGCUUAUUUGCUAGGGAAGGCUUCACCUUACUUUCUGAUUAACAUGGACACUCCUUCGGGGACCUGGGGACUCCAGGCUCUGAGUAUCAAAGGCAAACCCCGUGAGACCUGCACGACUUCAGAUGCUUCUCAAAUGAGAGUCUGAGCUUCCUCUGUUGUCUCCUGUUUGCCAGAGGUUUCCUUACACAGCCCCUAUUGAAGUUCUACUUAGAAUAGCCUCUGACAGUCACCCACUAUGGUUU